UCCCUGGUGGCUCAGCUGGUAAAGAAUCUGCCUGCAGUGUGGGAAACCUAGGUUCUAUCCCUGGCUUGGGAA
rnacentral:tRNA from 1 species